GUAGUCGUAUUACUGGGCUAAAGAGUCGUAGGUGAUGAAAAAGUGGUGGUGAAAUCCCAGAGCUUAACUCUGGAACUGCCAUCAAAACUUUUCAGCUAGAGUUUGAUAGAGGAAAGUAGAAUUUCUAGUGUAGAGGUGAAAUUCGUAGAUAUUAGAAAGAAUUCCAAUUGCGAAGGCAGCUUUCUGGAUCAUUACUGACACUGAGGAACGAAAGCAUGGGUAGCGAAGAGGAUUAGAUACCCUCGUAGUCCAUGCCGUAAACGAUGUGUGUUAGACGUUGGAAAUUUAUUUUCAGUGUCGCAGCGAAAGCAAUAAACACACCGCCUGGGGAGUACGACCGCAAGGUUAAAACUCAAAUGAAUUGACGGGGACCCGCACAAGUAGUGGAGCAUGUGGUUUAAUUCGAAGAUACGCGCAGAACCUUACCAACACUUGACAUGUUCGUCGCGACUUUAAGAGAUUAAAGUUUUCGGUUCGGCCGGACGAAACACAGGUGCUGCAUGGCUGUCGUCAGCUCGUGUCGUGAGAUGUUGGGUUAAGUCCCGCAACGAGCGCAACCCUCACUUUUAGUUGCCAUCAUUUAGUUGGGCACUCUGAAAGAACUGCCAGUGAUAAGCUGGAGGAAGGUGGGGAUGACGUCAAGUCCUCAUGGCCCUUACGUGUUGGGCUACACACGUGCUACAAUGGUAUCUACAACAGGAAGCAAAACGGCGACGUUAAGCAAAUCCUUAAAAGAUACCUCAGUUCGGAUUGCACUCUGCAACUCGAGUGCAUGAAGCUGGAAUUACUAGUAAUCGUGGAUCAGCGUGCCACGGUGAAUGCGUUCCCGGGUCUUGUACACACCGCCCGUCACACCAUGGGAGUUGGUUCUACCUUAAGGCAAGGUUUAAAACCCUUGACCACGGUAUAGUCAGCGACUGGGGUGAAGUCGUAACAAGGUAGCCGUAGGGGAACCUGCGGCUG
rnacentral:rRNA from 1 species